UCGGAGCGGCCAAGGUGCUCACAAAUAUCGGAACACGCCUCUAUUGUCAGGGCGUUAGAGCGCGUGUUCAGAUAUUGUGAACACCUUGGCCGCUCCGAUAUAUCUGAUGGCGACUGUACGUAGUUAUUUACUUGAUGAAGGCGUAGUAGCUUGCAUUUAGUUGUAGCAAUUUAUUAAUUUAGGUGCUCCUUAGUGUACUUCAGUUGGAAUUCCUUUAUAAUCAGAAAUAUUUAAUAGCUUCUAUGAGAAAAACAGUAUGGAUAUAAUAUAUCUACGAGUACCACACGGGCGGGUACCACAGCCCUGGCGGCUACGGGCCACAGUUUUAUAAUAGUUGAAAAAUGUCAAUUAGUGUAAAAAAAUACUUAAAUUUUUUUUAUUACGCAACAUUUUGCCUCUAUAAUUUUUUUCGUAAUGAAAAGUAUUACUGGAAUGAUCUGCCGCCAGAGUGCAGCACUAGUGCACAUAGUAAACCAUUGAGUAACUUAACAGAAACAGUUUUUUGACAACUAGACAUUGAUGCAUCGAGGCGGUUUGUUUACAGGUGACCUACCGAGAAACGCGAAAAUCUAAAUUUCUUUAUCUGCCUCUACAUCGAUCGAAUAAAGCAAGUGAUAGAGAGGCAGAAACCGAACUUUCGGUUUUCGUGUUUCGCGGUAGGCCCUGUGAUUGUGCUAGUGACGCAGAGUUUUGCGUAAUAUUCCCUAUUGGUAACGAAUUUAUAAAUAAGUUCACACGAAACGAUUCCUUUGAUCGUAACUGGGUUACGAACUAAGAAUGAUUAUUCUCUUCUAAUACGUAACUGCGUUACGAAUAAUUUGCUAUUUAUUCUUGUACUCGUAACUUGGUUACGUAAGAAGACCAAGGGCUUGCCUCCAAACAUUCUACAUUUUGCUGGUUAAAUUUAAAUACUUACUUAAGUUAUUAUUUAAGAAUAAAUAUAAAAAUUAAUGGGCAGUAAUUUUAUUUAGUAGAUCAAUAAUUUUUAAAUUAAAUAAGUGUUUUUUCUAUAUUUACCUAAGCCUAAUGACCGAACUGGGAUAGAUAACCACAUAAACGUUAAAAUUGUAUUUUAUCGUAAUAACACUUACUUAAAAGUAAAUAAGUUUUAUUUUAAUGGUAAAUAUAGAUAAAUGCCGUGAUUAAAUCAUCUAACACAAUAAUUUAAUUAAAGAAGUAUAAGUACCUACUUAUUGAAUUUUUACUACAAUGAAUAUUUUUAAAUUUUUGUAAUACGUUAUCAUUAAAUUAUGUUUAAUUUAUAACUCAUUUACCUCUGAAGUGUAUUAGAUUAAUACAUAAAUAAUUAUGUAAAAUAAAUUAUUUUUAUUGUGAAA